rnacentral:lncRNA from 1 species
CACGUUCAAGAAGUCUCAUUCAGCACACAUCGCGAUACUUGCUAUCAGUUCCACAGUUUGGCUGAAAAGACAUAAAGGCAGUCAGCCCAGUGGUGUUUCUGGAGAGGGAUUCCUUCAGAAAUGGAGAAGACAGAAAGCUGCGGAGGCAGAUAUUUGCAGCAUGUUCGAGUGAGCAUGAUGACCACAAGUGUGUGUCGAACUUUUCAUGACCUGAUGACUGUGUUUCCCAAUCCUGAUCCUGGAGAAGCCCAGCACUGCACGGUUUUGGUGUCUCUCUUAUCUGCCUUGGAGUCUUCACUGAUGAACUGAUGAGUUGAAUCAGGUGUGUUUGAUCAGGGAGACAUCUCAAAUGUGCAGUGUUAGGCUUCUCCAGGACCAGGAUUGGGAGCCACUGCCUUUAUGGGACACUUAUGUGUUUACAGAGAUUUUUAAUAUCUAAUUAUCAAUAUUUCACAUACUGUACAUUGGAGCAGCUUCCAUGACCUCUUGUGAGAUCUCAGCAAAAAGUCUGACGAUUUAUUCCAAAACAUGAUGCAUGAUGGGAUACACUAAGCUUUGUAUAGUGCUCCGGAGCAGUAUUGGAGAGGGUUUUAGUGUGUGUUAAGGACGCUGUGCUUUGGCAUUAUUAAGACCGGGGGACAGUCUUGUUCACACACUGUCAUGUACACACACUCUCAAGUGGCCAAGACUGCAAGUGUGGGUAUCUGGACAGGGUCAAAGUCUUAAAAAUGAUCCCUAAACACAUCACAGUCUUAAUAAUCCAGUUUAACACUUGUAUGAUAUUGUACAAGCCCCAGGACGGUCUCAUCUGACACUAUCAUAGAAUUCAUAUGACUAUAGCUUUGCUAUUAAUUACUUGCUUUCAAUAAUGGAUGCAUUUAACAUUUAAUUAUACAGCAUCUUUACAGAGGUGUAAUGUACAAGUUGCACGUAAUUAAUAAUAUUUCCUUCUUUCUGUCUUACAGGAUUUUUUGCAGAUAAUCCUAAUGCUGUUCUUCUUUUCAGGUCUAAAAUAUCAAGCUCAACAGCUCACUCAAGAGCCAACCCUCACAAACCUUCCUAAAAAACUAAAAGAGCUAUUUCUGAGUCUCAGCGAAUCUUGCCAUGAUCAGCUCUUCCCAGGUACAUUUGUUUAGAAUAUUUUUUUUUAAUCAACAUUUACUCCUCAAAUGCUCUGGUCUGAAUCUUACUUUAAAUUAACUUAAUUAUGUUUAAUGAGCAAUAUUAAUUGCACACAGAGUAAGUAGAGAUUAUCUUGUUUCACAGAAGAGAAGGAAGACCAAGGAAAUGAUUUGCUCAGGAUGAGGAAUGAAGAUGGCCAUCUUGUGCUCAAACAAACAGAAGUCCUCUGGUAUGUGUGUGUUGAAGCAAUGAUGUGUUAUACAACAUUUUAUGAUGAUCUCUCACAGAAGCUGGUCAUGGUCAGCCUUGAUUUCGUUUUAUACUAUUACAAUUACAGC